GUGGGGAAUAUUGGACAAUGGGGGAAACCCUGAUCCAGCGAUGCCGCGUGAGUGAUGAAGGCCUUAGGGUUGUAAAGCUCUUUCGCCCACGACGAUGAUGACGGUAGUGGGAGAAGAAGCCCCGGCUAACUUCGUGCCAGCAGCCGCGGUAAUACGAAGGGGGCUAGCGUUGUUCGGAAUGACUGGGCGUAAAGCGCACGCAGGCGGCGCGUCAAGUCAGAGGUGAAAGGCCCGGGCUCAACCUGGGAACUGCCUUUGAGACUGACGUGCUAGAGACCGAGAGAGGGUAGUGGAAUUCCCAGUGUAGAGGUGAAAUUCGUAGAUAUUGGGAAGAACACCGGUGGCGAAGGCGGCUACCUGGCUCGGUUCUGACGCUCAGGUGCGAAAGCGUGGGGAGCAAACAGGAUUAGAUACCCGUGUAGUCC
rnacentral:rRNA from 1 species